rnacentral:lncRNA from 1 species
AUGUGAUUUCAUAAGUUAUAACCACAACCAAGCAUAAAUAAAAAGUAAAUCAAACUUUCAUCCAUGUUUAUAACUCUCUUUAACAGUCAUGCAAUUACAAACCGAAUCCUCAUCAUUGUGUUGGAAGGUACCCUAAGACACAAAUAAGCACACAAAAACAACUCUUUUUGGGAUUUUCAAAACAAUUUUUCAAAUUUUUAUGAAUUCUCGGAUUUUUAUGUCAAAACACACUGAAACACUCCAAAACAGCUUAAAAAUACUUAAAACAGCAAGGAACAACACUAGAAAUAAUGGGUGAUAAUUUUCUACGAAUUUUAUGCAAAACACUAGUUACCCCCCCCACACUUAAAUCAAACAUUGUCCUCAAUGUUUCAAGCAUAUACUCACACAAAAACAAGCAACGAAUAACAGAACAAAUAUAGCAAAGUAAACAAAAAAAAUUAGACAGAGUAGAGGUUAAGAACGCAAAUCUGGUUUUUGAGAUAGAUGAUCUUGGUGACUUUCCACAGCUUUGAUCUUGAACUGGUUUGGAAUUCUGAGCGGGGAAUAUCAGAGUGCAGUCUGCAUUCUUCUCUGCUUGUUUCUUCUGCACGGCGGGCAGGCACGAGGUAAAGGUGUUGGUCUGUUUCUUUCUUCAAUCUUUCCAAGUGCCCACCUCUUGCUAUCUUUCUCCUUGUCCUUAGUUGAGGAUGAAUCAGCACGUUGUCUCCAUAUGCUUCGAGGUAUCAUCUUCACUUCCCUUAUAAGUGAGAGACAAAGCGAAAGCAUAAGAUGAUGAGU